rnacentral:rRNA from 1 species
ACGAACGCUGGCGGCGUGCUUAACACAUGCAAGUCGUACGGUAAGGCCCUUUCGGGGGUACACGAGUGGCGAACGGGUGAGUAACACGUGAGUAACCUGCCCACAACUUUGGGAUAACGCUAGGGAACUGGUGCUAAUACUGGAUAUGUGCUCCUGCUGCAUGGUGGGGGUUGGAAAGCUCCGGCGGUUGUGGAUGGACUCGCGGCCUAUCAGCUUGUUGGUGGGGUAGUGGCCUACCAAGGCGGCGACGGGUAGCCGGCCUGAGAGGGUGACCGGCCACAUUGGGACUGAGAUACGGCCCAGACUCCUACGGGAGGCAGCAGUGGGGAAUAUUGCACAAUGGGCGCAAGCCUGAUGCAGCAACGCCGCGUGCGGGAUGACGGCCUUCGGGUUGUAAACCGCUUUCAGCAGGGACGAAGCUUUUUGUGACGGUACCUGCAGAAGAAGCACCGGCUAACUACGUG